GAAUUCUUAGGACACAAAUCACAAGGGAAAAGAAAUGAGGCUGCCGUCAAAAUGAAAUUUUUCUGCUCUUCAAAAUGAACAGGUUAGACCGUGGACCGCCAGGACAAGAGUAACGUCUGUGAGUCAGACAGAGGACUCCCAUCCAGGAAAUAGAAAAAUGCAGCUGAAACAAUGCGGGGAAGUGGAACCAGUGGGAAAGACGAGCACGUCAUCACCAAGGAGUCACACGAGUGACCAAUAAGAACAUGAGCGAUUGUGUCGAGUCACCAGUCACUAGGGAAUGCAGGUUAAAAUCACAGACGGAGUUCCACCAGCCACCAUGGAGCGAAUCUCCACGGUGUAUCGGCCACACCUCCUGCUCUGCCAGAAGCCUGCUGUGUCUUCCGUCUGCUCUGUUGAGUUGACUUUUUUCUCAUGAAUUUGUAGGACCCCUCCACAUAGUUAUUCUCAGUGCUGAUUCUUCGACAGUUACACAUUUCACAAACAUCCUGCAAGACUAGUUCGUCUUUUCACUUUCGUCAAGACGCCUUUCACAGAGAUGUGAACAACUUGAUCAGUGUGUGUUCAGCAAGAUAUGUCGUGUCUGGCUAAGGGUGAGGCUCGCACCCCAUCCGUCUGAGGCCCAGGCCUCCGCAUCCAGGUUCAUCUUCCCUCCAGGGCCUGAAGGUGCUGCUGUUACCUCCUUUGGUCUCGUGUCCCUGACUGGAAACUCAUGUCAGUCUGAGUCUUGUUUCCUAGCUGCUGAUGUCUUCUCUCUGGAAGCUUCUAGAAGAAUGUGCGUGCUCAGUCAUGUCCAACUCUUUGCAACCCCACGUUGCCUGUCAGGCUCCUCUGUGCAUGGGAUUCUCCAGGCAAGAAUACUGCGGUGGGUUGCCAGUUCCUUCUCCAGGGGAUCUUCCUGACCAAGGGACCCAGCUCUCAUCUCUUGUACUCCCUGCAUUGCAGGUGGAUUCUUUACCACUGAGCCACCUGGGAAGUGAAAGCUUCUAGAACCCCCUCACCCUCAGAGCUCUGCACGUCUGCCGUGUCUGGGCCUACGUUUGUCCCUCUGGCCCGCUGGUCUUGUCAGUUCCAGAAUCGCUGUGUUUCUUCUGUCCUGUGAAGUUCUACUCUUAUGAAGUCACUCAGGGAAUGUAAGUGGUGCGGCCACUUCAGAACAGGCUGGCAGCUCCUCAGAAGAUUUAAUGUGGAGUUACCAUCUGAUCUGGCAGUUCCAUCCCUAGGAGUAGACCCAGGGGCAAUGAACACCCAGGGCCCCACAAAAACAUGUACCGGAGCGGUCAAAGAAGCAUUUUAAAUAAUAGACAAAACAUAUGGAAACAGCCCAACUGUCCAAACGAGUGGAUAAACAGUGAUCAAACUGUACACUGGAGUAGUAUUUGACUGCAAAAAGAGUAAAACAACCGCAACAAAACCAAACAACCAAUCUAAAAAUGGGCAGAGGGCUUGGAUAGACAUUUCUCCAAAGAAGAUGUAUGAAUGGCCAAUAAACUUGUGAAAAGAUGCUCAGCAUCACUAAUUGCUGCAUUGUGUGCUGUGCUCAGUUGCUCAGUCAUGUCCAACUCUUUGUGACCCCAUGGACUGUAGCCCCCCAGGCUCCUCUGUCCAUUCGAUUCUCCAGGCAAGAAUACUGGGGUGGGCUGCCACUUUCUCCUCCAGGGGAUCUUCCUGACUCAGGGAUCGAACCCUCCUCUCCUACCUCUCCUGCGUUGGCAGGUGAAUUCUUUUACCACUGAGCCACUUGGGGAGCCC
ensembl:lncRNA